GACGAACGCUGGCGGCGUGCUUAACACAUGCAAGUCGAACGGAAAGGCCCUGCUUUUGUGGGGUGCUCGAGUGGCGAACGGGUGAGUAACACGUGAGUAACCUGCCCUUGACUUUGGGAUAACUUCAGGAAACUGGGGCUAAUACCGGAUAGGAGCUCCUGCUGCAUGGUGGGGGUUGGAAAGUUUCGGCGGUUGGGGAUGGACUCGCGGCUUAUCAGCUUGUUGGUGGGGUAGUGGCUUACCAAGGCUUUGACGGGUAGCCGGCCUGAGAGGGUGACCGGCCACAUUGGGACUGAGAUACGGCCCAGACUCCUACGGGAGGCAGCAGUGGGGAAUAUUGCACAAUGGGAGGAAGCCUGAUGCAGCAACGCCGCGUGCGGGAUGACGACCUUCGGGUUGUAAACCGCUUUCGCCUGUGACGAAGCGUGAGUGACGGUAAUGGGUAAAGAAGCACCGGCUAACUACGUG
rnacentral:rRNA from 1 species